GCGGCGGCCUACACAUGCAAGUCGAGCGGAUGACGGGAGCUUGCUCCUUGAUUCAGCGGCGGACGGGUGAGUAAUGCCUAGGAAUCUGCCUGGUAGUGGGGGACAACGUUCCGAAAGGGGCGCUAAUACCGCAUACGUCCUACGGGAGAAAGUGGGGGAUCUUCGGACCUCACGCUAUCAGAUGAGCCUAGGUCGGAUUAGCUAGUUGGUGAGGUAAUGGCUCACCAAGGCGACGAUCCGUAACUGGUCUGAGAGGAUGAUCAGCACACUGGAACUGAGACACGGUCCAGACUCCUACGGGAGGCAGCAGUGGGGAAUAUUGGACAAUGGGCGAAAGCCUGAUCCAGCCAUGCCGCGUGUGUGAAGAAGGUCUUCGGAUUGUAAAGCACUUUAAGUUGGGAGGAAGGGCAGUAAGUUAAUACCUUGCUGUUUUGACGUUACCGAGGGAAUAAGCACCGGCUAACUCUGUGCCAGCAGCCGCGGUAAUACAGAGGGGUGCAAGCGUUAAUCGGAAUUACUGGGCGUAAAACGCGCGUA
rnacentral:rRNA from 1 species